GAGGGUAUAGCUCGAUGGUAGAGUGCCUGCUUAACAUGCACAAGGCCCUGGGUUCAAUCCCCAGUACCUCCA
rnacentral:tRNA from 1 species